GGUCUGUGAUGAAUAGUAAAAGGUCUGAUUAUACUAAGGUUUGCACUUCCAUGACCUUUUCUCCCAGCAGUUUCUCACCAGUCACAGCACAGUAAUGGUGUGGCUGGCAGAGUGUGUGCUGACAGUUUGUGAUGUGUUCGGUUCAUGUUAACCUGAAGUAUCAGAGACAUGACUGGGAUCAGCAUCCAACAGUCUUUCUUGAAGGAGUUUGGGGUCUUGGAUUGUUACAACUGGGUAUGUGAUCUGACUUCUCUGCUGAGACC
rnacentral:snoRNA from 1 species